CCUACGGGAGGCAGCAGUGGGGAAUAUUGGACAAUGGGCGGAAGCCUGAUCCAGCCAUGCCGCGUGUGUGAAGAAGGCCUUAUGGUUGUAAAGCACUUUAAGCGAGGAGGAGGCUACUUAGAUUAAUACUCUAGGAUAGUGGACGUUACUCGCAGAAUAAGCACCGGCUAACUCUGUGCCAGCAGCCGCGGUAAUACAGAGGGUGCGAGCGUUAAUCGGAUUUACUGGGCGUAAAGCGUGCGUAGGCGGCUUUUUAAGUCGGAUGUGAAAUCCCCGAGCUUAACUUGGGAAUUGCAUUCGAUACUGGGAAGCUAGAGUAUGGGAGAGGAUGGUAGAAUUCCAGGUGUAGCGGUGAAAUGCGUAGAGAUCUGGAGGAAUACCGAUGGCGAAGGCAGCCAUC
rnacentral:rRNA from 1 species